AGAAUAGUUUGUUCUAACAACCAUUACUGUACAUCCGGGACGAUCAGCAAUUAGUAUCAAACGCAGAAGAAUGAAUCAAAAUUCAGAUCGAUUCAAUCAAGAUGGCGGAUUACGGACUCCAAGGCGGAGAGGAGUUUCGGAGGAGGCGGAGCAGAAGCUCCGUAGUGAUUACAUGUCGUCGUAUUUUGUGAAGUUGAGGCCAUUGGAUUUUAAUCCUAACCAAAGCUGUAACUUUCUCAGCCUUCCUUCACCCUAAUUCGGCAUUGGGUAAUGAAGCGAUGCAAGUUGCGCUAGCAGUGUGUUUCAAAGAGUCCGGCUAGGCAAGGCGGUUGUUGAUUCCGUUGAGAAUGCAGUAUUGUUUAUCGGAUCCAUGGCAAUACUUUUUGUUUGUGUUGUUAGGAUUGUUGCACACGUGAUGAACUUAUUCACAUAUGGAAGCGAUGAAGCAGAAGUUCUUGCACAUGAGGAGCAGCGAAUUCAGGUGAAAUAACAUGGAAGAGCUCCAUAGAGUUGUCUAUGAUCAAGUCUUUCUUCUCAUUCUUUGACUUGUCAGAUAGCUUCUGCUUAUCUACCAUCUUGCGAGAAACAUGGAUUACGCUUAUCAGAACUGUUGUUCUGUUGGCAGCCAGAUAAAGAAAA